UUGAACGUUGGCGGCGUGCAUUAGGCAUGCAAGUCGAGCGAGAAGUGUAGCAAUACACGGACAGCGGCGAGAGGGAGAGUAAUGCGUAGGUACCUACCCCCGGGACCGGGAUAGCGGCGGGAAACUGCCAUUAAUACCGGAUAACGUCCCCGGACCAAAGGUGUGAUUCCGCCUGGGGAGGGGCCUGCGUCCUAUCAGCUAGUUGGCAGGGUAAUGGCCUACCAAGGCUUUGACGGGUAGCGGGUGUGAGAGCACGACCCGCCUCACUGGGACUGAGACACUGCCCAGACACCUACGGGUGGCUGCAGUCGAGAAUCUUCCGCAAUGGGCGAAAGCCUGACGGAGCGACGCCGCGUGCGGGACGAAGGCCUUCGGGUUGUAAA
rnacentral:rRNA from 1 species